UACGAAGGGGGCUAGCGUUGCUCGGAAUCACUGGGCGUAAAGCGCGCGUAGGCGGAUUGCUAAGUCAGGGGUGAAAUCCUGGAGCUCAACUCCAGAACUGCCUUUGAUACUGGCAACCUUGAGUCCGGGAGAGGUGAGUGGAACUGCGAGUGUAGAGGUGAAAUUCGUAGAUAUUCGCAAGAACACCAGUGGCGAAGGCGGCUCACUGGCCCGGUACUGACGCUGAGGUGCGAAAGCGUGGGGAGCAAACAGG
rnacentral:rRNA from 1 species